CGAACAAAAGAUUUCCCAAAAAUAUUUAUAUUUCCCGCUUCUCCUCCUUCCUAUUCUCUGGUUCUCUGUUUUUCCCGCUUCUCCUCCUUCCCCUCCCUGGUUCUCUGCUCCUUCUCCUUCUCCUUCUAUACUUUCGCGAAAUUCAACAGUCCCUUCAUCUUCUCUACUUUCGCGAAAUUCAACACUCACAGCAGACACCGCACGACUAGCGCCGCCGCCGCUGCUGUUCCCCCAACCGCCAAACGCUUCAUCUUCCCGCCACGUCGCCGCUGCUGUUCCCCCACCGCCGAAUUCUUCCUCUUCUCGUCGCCGCCGCAGCACACACGCGUCGCUCUUCCUUAUCGCUAAACAAAACCCUAAAAAAUCACCAAACCCUAGAUAUUUUUGCAAUUGCUUCAAUUAAGAAUGCCUAAUUUGUCAAGGCUUUUCGAUUGCGUGCUCGUUUUGCUUCUACCUUCUUCCAGAUCGAACUAAUCCAGAUACCUCAGUGACAAUCACAUUGGGGGUACCAGUCUUGCCAAUUUAUCUUCCCAUUGUGAGGACCUUGUUCUUUUCUGAUAAUCAGUUCACUGGAGCCUGGAGGCACUUAUGACUUGUCUGUAUUAAGUCAAUUGAUAGACUAAAUUUUCUGAUCUGUUAUUGUGUCGCGGAAGUGUCAAGGAAUUUUUUUUGAGCCAUGGAGGAAGUUAUUGAAAAACAAGGGGUGUGAAUUUCGUAGAGGCAGAGGAGUUACAGAUUUCUUCUUCAGUGAAGAAACAGGUUGUGUUUCAGAAGUACUGGGUGGGAAUGACAGAAUAAAAGCUGAUGCAGUGAUCUUGGCUGUGGGUAUCUCCAGCCUUCAGGAAAUCAUACAAAGAAGCUCAGCAUUAUGUACUAGGGAGGAGUUUCAGAAAGUUUUGAACUUGGCCUGCAUUUAUACGCUUUCUGUUAAGCUUCAUCUUUAUCGAAAGAUUAACAUCCUGAACGCAUGCAACGCUUGCUCGGGAUUUGAUGCAUUAAGUGGGUGGACUUUCUACAACUUGAAUGCUAUCUACCAGGAACAUGAAAAUGAUGAAACAACAAUCUUACGGGCUGACUUUGUACCCAUAUCAACAAUGGAGGUCACUGGCUCAAGAAUUGGAACUGGAUGCCGCCUAUUGACAAAGGUACAUUGGCCAUAAAGGAGGUGAAAAGAAUAAAUACAUUUGGAGGCUUUUCAAAGACAUCCUCAAUUUUCUAUUAUCCUACCCAGUGUAUAAAAAGGCGUGAAAAAGACGCGCCUAGGCUCUAAGGCGCAAGGGGUUUGGAGCCAUCGCCUUUUAUUGUCUGGGCGAGGCGAUUUUGAUGAGGCGCACCUUGAGGCGCAAAAAGGCGCACCUCCUGAGGCACACACCAUUUUUUCACACUUUUUUUAACUUUUUAUCAGGGCGCCUCACUUCAAUGAGGCACGCCUAAGGCGCUGAGAACUCCAAAUCGCCUUGGUACGCCUUGAGCCUUUUUAUACAUUGAUCCUACCAAAAGUGAAAGUCAUUUUAGGCCUGAGUUUCUUGCCAUCUGUCUGUUGCUUUUUACAAGCUUUUUAACUGUAAAAAUUACUUUUGGGAAGCUUAUCUAUCGUAAAACUUUCAGAAGCUUGUUCUCUAAGUUUCAUCGUGUUAGAUCAAUUGUUUGCCCUUUGCAUGUACAGAUGAUUGAAAUUUGAAUAUGUGUGUCGGUUACGGAGGAAACAUGUCUUACUUUUAUUGUGUUAAGCUAUCUACUAUACUGUAA